CCGACUCCGGCCGCCCGAGCUCCACUCACAACUAGCCCUGUGGCGUGUCGACUGGGUCGACUGGCGGCGCGUCGGUGGCCGUGUGUGGUUGCCGAAGCCACAGGUGAACUAUGAUGACCAUGGAGGAGCAACAGCAUGCAGUUCAUGACGGCGGAGACGAGGUGCACUUGCAGCUAAGUCUGGACGAUGGUACUUCGUACCCCCUGCCACUGCCGCUCCUAUUCGAUUCCAGAAGAUGGACUAAGAUGCACUUAUCCAGUCGGUCCUGAUCCUAAUUGAUGCAAAUUUAGUGGCAGCAGCAAGUUUAGCUGUACAUGUGGUUAGUGUGCAAUAUCCAUUGUGCAUCCUAAUUUAUUGUACAAUUAUUUAAUUGUUUUCUUGAAGGAUGAUAAUUGAUAUGUGGAACAGCUAUUAUUUCUAUUAUUGAGUCUAGAUUUUUCACCAGCUCCAGCAGGCUUUUUUUUACAUCCCAAUGUAGUGAACAUGUUUAGUUGUUUAUUAUUGUGCAUCUAUCAUUUAUAUUCUGUGCCAAAAAUAUGUGCAACUCUUGUACAGUAAAGUACACUGUUUUAUGUGCAA